rnacentral:misc_RNA from 1 species
UGGCUUCCUCUCUGAUUUCAUUAAUGUUUUCUGUUUCUUGUUCCAUAUUCUGGGUGCUUAAUUCAAGAUCUUGAAUUGUAGGCUUUGGUAGGAUGUUAUCACCACAAACAACAAGACUAACCACGGUUUCUUCAGGAACAUUCCCUUGUAAAUCUUGAACCACUAGAACAGCAUCAUUAAUCCUGUGUUGGUAUUCAAGGGCAGACACGACAGUGCUUGGCGGAGUUUCUUGAAUUGGCGGUGGUGGACCUUGUGGUGGGGGAGGUAGGAUGUUGGUGGUUGCAAUAUUGGCACGGCAGAGGGGACAACUAGCAUGAGACGUGAGCCAAGGAUCAAUACAAGGGAGAUGAAAUGCGUGGUUACACUUAGGCAAUAACCUUAAGUUCUCAUUUUCUUGAAAUUCACUUAAACAAACAGAGCAAUCUGAGCUUUCAACGAACCCAUCACCUUUCUUGUAUUUGCA